AAUUAGUUAGCUCUCAAUUACUUUAGAAAAAUUCUUUUGCAUUUGAUUUCUUACUUACAGUUGAAUGGCCGUAUUACAGGGUUUCUGGAUUCUUUCUCUUUCUCUGCCUUGGCGACGUUGGUGUGGGCAUAAGUUACACCACCAACCGUCUCGCAAAAUCCAUAAAGCAUAUACAGAGAAGAAGGAGAGGGUUUUCUGGUGGCCAACUUCAUCUUGCACAUGAUGAGCCACCUUCCCAUUCAAGGUGAGAGCGGGAACAGUGAAAAUGGGGAAUGCAAAACACCAUUAAGGAGUAGAGGAAUGAAAAAAAACAUCCAUACUUGGAUUUUGUUGGCGUGAUAAUGCUAACAUUUAUAGUCAGAAACCAUUACAAACUUCGGACACCAAUAAACUGAUAACACGUGCAGAUUUUGUUUGUGAGGUCUCCCAGGCUCCAUUGGAGAUUCGGGUUGUAUAUCGUGUUGUUGUACAAAGAAGGGUAACUUUCAGUCUGAAGUUCUCUUUGGUCCCUCUUAACAUCCUUUAUUUACCAGGAUUUUGUUCAUAUGGUUAGUUGUUGUAAAUGUAACUGAGUUUCGCAAAUCAAUUACUCAAUUACGUACCUGCAGAAUCACAGACUUUGGGUGUACUCUUCAAUGUACUCAAGCCAGCACAGAAAUUCUUCAAAAAUAAUAUCCACAAAAUGCACACCGAACUACUUACUGUGCCCGAAGGAACUUAUGUAGGUUCGCGUCAUUGAAAAUAUACUUAAAUGAUGCUUCAAGGAGGGCACUCCUAGCAGAACUUAAAAUGUACCACACCCUGGGAAGUUUUUAGUCGAAAAUUGCACUCAUUGAAGACGACGUGACGAAAUAAUCAAGAAGAUGCCACUAAAAGAAUUGCUUAUAGAAUCUUCCAUAAAUAUAUGGUUGAUUUUAGAAUCAUUGAAAUUCUUCAUACAUUUAACUUUUCUACCGUUUCAAAUUUUACUGUUUAGUACUUAAUCUCUUGCUUUCCCUUAA